GAUGAAGAACGUAGCGAAAUGCGACACUUGGUGUGAAUUGCAGAAUCCCGUGAACCAUCGAGUCUUUGAAUGCAAGUUGCGCUCGAGGCCGUUAGGUCGAGAGCACGUCUGUUUGGGUGUCAUGCCUUGCAUCGUUCCUACCAUCCAUCUACGGUAAACGUAGGUCGGGUGACGAUGGAUGUGGAGAUUGACCCUCCGUUCUUUAAUAGUGCGGUCGGUUCAAGGGAAUGUUAUCGCUAGGCCCACGCGCGGCGAACGGAGUAUCGAGACAACAAAGAUGUUUCUAACCGCGUCCAGGUGUCCCAAGUCCAAUGCAACAUUAAAAGAAACCAUUCUCGAUGUUUGCACGAGCCGCAAACUCGGACCAUGACCUCAGAUCAGACGGGGCCACCCGCUGAGUUUAAGCAUAUCAAUAAGCGGAGGA
rnacentral:misc_RNA from 1 species